rnacentral:rRNA from 1 species
AGAAUCAACGCUGGCGGCGUGCCUAACACAUGCAAGUCGCACGAGAAAGGGGAGCAAUCCCUGAGUAAAGUGGCGCACGGGUGAGUAACACGUGAAUCAUCUACCUCCGAGUGGGGAAUAACCUAGAGAAAUCUGGGCUAAUACCGCAUAACACUUACGAGUCAAAGCAGUAAUGCGCUUGGAGAGGAGUUCGCGGCAGAUUAGCUAGUUGGCGGGGUAAUGGCCCACCAAGGCGAUGAUCUGUAUCCGGCCUGAGAGGGCGCACGGACACACUGGAACUGAAACACGGUCCAGACUCCUACGGGAGGCAGCAGUGGGGAAUUUUGCGCAAUGGGGGAAACCCUGACGCAGCAACGCCGCGUGGAGGAUGACGCCCCUUGGGGUGUAAACUCCUUUCGAUCGGGAAGAUGAUGACGGUACCGAUAUAAGAAGCCCCGGCUAACUUCGUGCCAGCAGCCGC